rnacentral:ncRNA from 1 species
UAGUAGCCUGAUGGAUCGAAAGAUGAAGGGUGAGAAGUUGGAUGGAAAUCUGGAAAAAGGAUUCGCAUGUUGCGUAAGGAUAAUCAACCACAGAGGGCGAGAAGUUUGUCCUUAUCCUCAAAAGGCUAAAAGAGGAGAUAGUGCUUCUGAUAAUUCAGAAGGGCGUCGUGAAACACAUUUUGUGGCUCGUCUGUAACUCCCGGAGGUGAGAACACCUCUUUGUACACGGGGCGAUAUAGGAGUCUAGAAGACUGGCGUGUACCUACA